rnacentral:misc_RNA from 1 species
AACGCAUCUUGCACUCCUUGGUAUUCUGAGGAGCAUGCCUGUUUGAGUGUCAUAAUUAUUAUCAACUGCUUUGGUUUUAUCAAAGUGAAGUUGGAUUAGUGAAGGAGUGCAGGCAAUUAUAUGUUUGCUCCUUUAAAAUAUAUUUAAGGACUGUAUCUUGGAUGAAGCAUUAAAAACUUAUUAAUGCUUAGUGAAAAGAUCAUCAAUAUGAUAAAUUACUAUAUUGUUGAUAAACAUCAUUAUUAUACAUCCAAGCUUUUGUCUAUAUAAGUAAUUAUAUAUAAUAUUUGACCUCAAAUCAGGUAGGACUACCCGCUGAACUUAA